rnacentral:rRNA from 1 species
AGAGUUUGAUCCUGGCUCAGAAUGAACGCUGGCAGCGUGCCUAACACAUGCAAGUCGAGCGGUCCGCAAGGACAGCGGCAGACGGGUGAGUAAUAGUUGGGAACAUGCCCAGAAGUGGGGGAUAGUCCGCCGAAAGGCGGAGUAAUCCCGCAUGUGAUCGCAAGAUUAAAGCAGCAAUGCGCUUCUGGAGUGGCCCAACGCCUAUCAGCUUGUUGGUGGGGUAAUGGCCUACCAAGGCUCCGACGGGUAGCUGGUCUGAGAGGACGACCAGCCACAAUGGGACUGAGACACGGCCCAUACACCUACGGGUGGCAGCAGUUGGGAAUAUUGCACAAUGGACGAAAGUCUGAUGCAGCGACGCUGCGUGAAGGAUGAAGGCCUUCGGGUUGUAAACUUCUUUUGGCGGGGGGUAAUCUUGAAAGUACCCGCAGAAUAAGCACCGGCUAACUACGUGCCAGCAGCCGCGGUAAUACGUAGGGUGCGAGCGUUAUUCGGAUUUACUGGGCGUAAAGCGUGUGUAGGUGGUUUAACACGUCCUUGAUUAAAGACUCGGGCUCAACUCGAGGAAUGUUGAGGAUACGAUUAGACUAGAGGUUUGCAGGGGCAGAUGGAAUUCCCGGUGUAGCAGUGAUAUGCGUAGAUAUCGGGAAGAACACCGAUGGCGAAAGCAGUCUGCUGGGCUCAUCCUGACACUGAGACACGAAAGCGUGGGGAGCGAACGGGAUUAGAUACCCCGGUAGUCCACGCCCUAAACGAUGCUGACUAGGUAUGUGACGUAUCGACCCGUUGCGUACCGUAGCUAACGCGUUAAGUCAGCCGCCUGGGGAGUACGGCCGCAAGGCUAAAACUCAAAGGAAUUGACGGGGACCCGCACAAGCGGUGGAGCAUGUGGUUUAAUUCGAUGUUAAGCGAAGAACCUCACCCAGGUUUGACAUCUCUGGAAAGCCCUAGAAAUAGGGCCGUGCCGCAAGGAACCAGAUGACAGGUGUUGCACGGCUGUCGUCAGCUCGUGCUGUGAAGUGUACGGUUAAGUCCGUAAACGAGCGCAACCCUCGUCGUAUGUUGUAUUUUUCAUACGAUACUGCCGGCGUUAAGUCGGAGGAAGGUGGGGAUGACGUCAAGUCAGCGUGGCCCUUACGCCUGGGGCGACACACGUGCUACAAUGGGCAGCAACAAUGGGUUGCGAAGCGGCAACGCGGAGCUAAUCCCACCAAACCUGCCCCCAGUUCGGAUUGAGGGCUGCAACUCGCCCUCAUGAAGCCGGAAUCGCUAGUAACGGCGGAUCAGCCUUGCCGCCGUGAAUACGUUCUCGGGUCUUGUACACACCGCCCGUCAAGUCAGGAAAGCUGGUAAUACCAGAAGCCCGUAUUUAUACGGUCCACGGUAGGAUCAGUAAUCAGGACUAAGUCGUAACAAGGUAUCCCUAUCGGAAGGUGGGGAUG